GAGUGGGUUCAAACUGUGACUAUGGCACUGGAUCCCAUCAAACCUCGAAAGUUAAACAUCCUUGGGCUUGAAUAGUAUUGGGUUGGGUGACCACCCGAGAAGUCCAAGUGACCCCCUCU
rnacentral:rRNA from 1 species